rnacentral:sRNA from 1 species
UUGCUGAUGAUUCGAGUUGAGUUUAUGC